GAUGAACGCUAGCUACAGGCCUAACACAUGCAAGUCGAGGGGAAACGGCAGCUUAGCUUGCUAAGCUGGACGUCGACCGGCGCACGGGUGAGUAACGCGUAUCCAACCUGCCCCACGGUGAGGGAUAACCCGCGGAAACGCGGCCUAAUACCUCAUGGCCUCCGAGCUUGACAUCAAUCUUGGAGUAAAGAUUCAUUGCCGUGGGAUGGGGAUGCGUCUGAUUAGCUUGUUGGCGGGGCAACGGCCCACCAAGGCAACGAUCAGUAGGGGUUCUGAGAGGAAAGCCCCCCACAUUGGAACUGAGACACGGUCCAAACUCCUACGGGAGGCAGCAGUGAGGAAUAUUGGUCAAUGGGCGAGAGCCUGAACCAGCCAAGUAGCGUGCAGGAUGACGGCCCUAUGGGUUGUAAACUGCUUUUAUGCGGGGAUAAAGCGGGCCACGUGUGGCCCCUUGCAGGUACCGCAUGAAUAAGGACCGGCUAAUUCCGUGCCAGCAGCCG
rnacentral:rRNA from 1 species